UAGGCAGAAGUAUAAUAGGUUGUGCGAGGAGUUUUGGGCUCUUAGGUACAGGUUCGGAUCCUGGCUGUCUAA
rnacentral:tRNA from 1 species